rnacentral:rRNA from 1 species
AGUGAACGCUGGCGGUAGGCCUAACACAUGCAAGUCGAACGGCAGCACAGUAAGAGCUUGCUCUUACGGGUGGCGAGUGGCGGACGGGUGAGGAAUACAUCGGAAUCUACUUUUUCGUGGGGGAUAACGUAGGGAAACUUACGCUAAUACCGCAUACGAUCUACGGGUGAAAGCAGGGGAUCUUCGGACCUUGCGCGAUUGAAUGAGCCGAUGUCGGAUUAGCUAGUUGGCGGGGUAAAGGCCCACCAAGGCGACGAUCCGUAGCUGGUCUGAGAGGAUGAUCAGCCACACUGGAACUGAGACACGGUCCAGACUCCUACGGGAGGCAGCGGUGGGGAAUAUUGGACAAUGGGCGCAAGCCUGAUCCAGCCAUACCGCGUGGGUGAAGAAGGCCUUCGGGUUGUAAAGCCCUUUUGUUGGGAAAGAAAAGCAGCAGGUUAAUACCCCGCUGUUCUGACGGUACCCAAAGAAUAAGCACCGGCUAACUUCGUG